CCGCCUCCCUCCCUCCCGCGCGCCUCCUCUCCCCCCCCGCCUCCCGCAGCCACAUCGCCGUCGCCGCCACCCGCCUCCACACGCCGUCGGUGUCCAGAUCCACCACAACAAAGCCCCCUCCUCCCUCCCCAACGACGAUGAGCAGCAGCGGAGGGAGGGUCCGCCACCUCCUCUGGACAGAGAGAGAGAGAGAGAGAGUGAAUCCCCUCCCUCCCCCACUCCCGUCUCGUCUCCACCAGCAGCGCGGCCAGCCACUGGAGGAGCCGCCUCCCCUCCCUAGGGUUCCGCCUCCCUCGCCGCGCUCCCAUCUCCUCCCCGUAUCCCACCCGCAUCGCCAUCGCCGCGCCAUGGCCGACGCCGACGAGCUGGCCGCCGCGUGCCAGGACUCCGACGCCGCCGCCGGCACCAGCAACCUCUUCCAGGUCACGCGCGCCGUCGAGGCCACCAUCCGCCACCAGCUUGAGGAGAACAGCCGGCUCAAGGAGGAGCUGAUGCGCAAGACCCGGGAGCUCGACAGAAUCGAGAUUCGACCUGUUGAACUUGGAAAAUGCUCUGGACUUUCCACUAUAAUCUGUGUUUUCGUGGCCCUGGUGAUCUGGAUUAUCGCACUGACGAACAAUCUGUUGAUGAUUUUCUCAAAAUCAAAGGAGCCAAGUUCCUUGAGGCUGUAAAUUGGGUUAUUCAAUGACAUAGUGUGAUAGGUAUUGAUAAGUUAUGCAUCAGGUGUGGCUUGCACAAAGAGCAGUUUGAUCAUCUUGACCUGUGGAUUAGUUUGCCGCUUCAUCGAAAACAAAGCAAAGAUCAUAGCUUUUGACCCGAAGAAACUUAUUCACCCUCUGAAGAAGUUCAUGUUCAUCACUUUCGCCUUGAGGCCUUGGGUGUUUCUCGCCGCUGUUUCUAUAAGGACACACUCAGAAUGAAUGUUUAGAUGGUUGAGUAUCAUGCUGCAGAUCUUUGCUCAUUUUGAGUAGGAGGGACAAGAGAUCCCUAUAGUACUUCAUGGGUGCUCAAGAGAAGGCUACGAUAAUGUUCAGAGGCAGCAGAAGACUGGCCAGUGAAGAUACUAAUUAUGGAAGCUUAUAAACAUGGAUAUGAACAGUUGCAGAAUCUGACAACCAAGACCACAUGGCACGUUUAUGCACUUGCGGCAUAUGACUUGUCAAUUAAUUGUCUUCUCUAGACAGCCAAAUGCUGAUAAUGGAAUUCUUCAACUUGCCCGCUUCUUGGAUGUUGUGCCCCGACUGGAGACGUUGCAUUUGGAUAUGGUAUAUCUGAACCUUGACGACGGUGGGAGUGAUGAGGUGAUGGAGGAGGAAGGCUCCCAUAUGCGUCACCAUGAUCAUAUGCGUCCUACAUACAUCCUCUGAAUUCAAAAAUAAAUCAUAACAAUAAGCAAAUGUUGUAACAAGGCCAACAUAAAGAUGGUGUAGUCAUGCAUAGAGGUUGAUUGGAGCAAAAUGGUUCCAUCUAUCAACUAAGAGAAAAAAGGGUUCAAUCCUUCAUCUGAGGGCAAAGUAUGUUGUUGACACUGCUAAAGAAUUGAUGGCCAAGCCUGGUGGAGGCGCAAAAUGGCUUGCCUUAUUGCGUGACCGGGAACUUCCGGAGGUAAUCGAUGGUCUUUGUACCCUGCCAGGCAUUGGUCCAAAAGUUGCAGCCUGCAUUGCUCUGUUCUCUCUUGAUAAGAAUUAGGUUAUUCCCGUUGACACACAUGUCUGGAAGGUAAGCUAUGUCUGGUUAACCAUUGUUGUAUUCUUGAUGUAAAAACGACUUAAUCAGGUGUGCUUUUCCACCACUAUACUCUUUGUCAAUUCUCACAAAUUAGGUUGAUCUGAUUGGUUUUAGUGAUCGUAGUAGUUUUCUGUUGGCUAGCAGCAUGUUCAAGGCUUCACCUAGAUGAAUAUUACGAGUUUGGACCAUGAUAAUAGCUACACAUUUCCUAAAGUGAUCAUGUUUAAAUUUCACGGGGUGUGGUGCACCUAUUCUAACUUUAAAAUGCAAUGGAACUUAUAAAGUAGAUAAUCGCCACUGAAACUUAUACACAAUGAAUGCUCUGUUUCAGAAUGAGAACAAGUUUUGUGGUAUCAAAAAUACAUUCGAACCUUGAGGAUGCAGAGUCAAGAGAGACUCUCUGGAUAUGCUCUAUAUGAUCUGAAAGUCCCUCAAGUUGCUUUGAAAAUUGCACUUUCCACUUUCAUGGAGAAUAUUGAUGCAACCUCAAAUUAAGUGGAAUAAUCAUGGCUGCUUAAAAAUGUGUUGAAUUUUAAGAUGUUCUGCUGAAUUAGUUGCACCAGGUCAUAUGUUUUGAUCUGUACACGGGUCUUUUUCAACUCAGGCUUGCACCGUCGCCGUUCCUCGGGGUUCAGAAAGAGGAGCGCCGGCCAUAGACGAACGAGGAGUUUGAGAUAUCUGCGGCGCCUGUUGCAGUGACCACGACUACUGCAUCAAAGACAAAGGUAGUGCCGCAUCAAUUCAGGCCGCGGAGAUGAUGGUGCCGACGCUGGUGCUCAAGGUGGUCGGUUGUUGCGCUGCCCGACAGGCUGGUGGCUGCGUCGACCUAUGGCCAAUGCCCCGUGUGUCGACCGUGGGGCUAGGACGCUCUACGUCGCCAGGGACCUCAAGCUGUCGACAGCGGGGACCGGGUACAAAGACGGGAAGGCCAUCCUGGCCGACGCCUUCGGGAGGAUGGUGGCCGUCAUUUAGCAGGACCAUGCCAUCAGUGGCAGCUAUGACGGCCUUCCCGUGCUUGCCGGUGUUAAUCUGGUCGUCCGUUCCCCGGACGACAAGCUCGAGUUCAGGGUGGAUAAAUCGUACAAGCUGACUGUGCCUACAACUGGGAACCCGAUAUAUGCCCGAAUUAAGGUUAGUAAAAAUUUUUGUACUCAAUAACUGCCUAUCAACUCCUUGACUGCAUGUGUUCUUCUUAUGUGAAUGCAUGAGAAAAAGGAGAGAUGAAAUCCUAUUUUUAGCGAGACCCAGACCAAAAAAUGUAUGGGCCACACAAAGUUUAGUUAAGACUAUGUAUCAAGAUGAUAUGGCACACAGAUGAACCCUGUAUCAUACAAAUGAAUCUGUGGUAUACAAAAUUAGUACUUAAGCAUUGGCGUACAUACAUGAGAAAAAUAGUAGAAGUAUUGUAUUCGUGCAUAUCUAUUUUGGAGCCCUUCACUUGCUGACAUGAGUGACAUCUAAGAAUCAAAGUCCACUGAUGAACAAUUAAUUAUAAAUGCACUAUAUAUCCUUUCUCUUGGGGAUUAUUUGUUAGUUUCUCUGAUAUUAACUGUAAAAUGCGUAUUUUCAUUAUUUGACCGAUAGUCUAAUACUGAAAUUAAACAUUUAUUCUUCGAUGAUAUGUGUGAGUUGUGGACUUCCUGCCCUUUUAGCACAAAUAGACAGGACGUACUUCAGAAUUUAGUUGGCAUCAGAUUAAUCAUACUUUUUAUUUUGAGCAAGAAAGAGUACCCUGUUGAACCAACUCUUUGGGGCUAAUUUCAGGGAGAUGGAUGUGUUGAGGGGAAGACUAUAUACAAGAGGUUCAGCAAAGGACUCAAGUUUGCAACCACCACAAAAAUAAGUCUAUGGAACAAUAGUGUGUGGCUGUUCUGUGCAAUUUUUCUCUCAUCGAGGGGUAUGUCAAGUGUAAGUGCAGACACAUUGUUGAUGUUGAAUACUGGAGUAAGAAUGAUGAUCAAUGCUCUAAUGAACCUACAUGAUGUUGCAUUACUAUUAGGAUAUAGGGUUAGGCACAUACUUUUUUUGACAAUGGGUAGUUAAGUGUGGUUUUCAGGUGUAGUUGCCUAUUGGUUUAUUUAGUUUUCCUGUGUCGAUUUCUCUUGUACUGUAAAGCAGAGGCUGACUUCUCGUGGCAUCGCUAGAUCUGGUGGCCAGCCGUUGUCGUUGCCUGUCCUCUUUGACGCGAGACCACAUGGAGAAGGGGCUCGUGGCAGCGCCUGGAUUGGUGGCCAGCCAGCCGGCAUCAUGGAGCUCGACAUGUCUCAGGCCUGUUCGCCACAUAACUUACAGUCCAGGUCGUUGACAUAUUCGGGUUCUAGGUCACAGAAACAAAAUAUUUUGGCUCAGCAAUUUCAUGCAUUAGAUAUCUUUUUGUGAAUUCUACAAUUUGUAGCUUCGACCUAAAUUUGACAUUCGUUUUAGUCAACUUACACUCCUGGAUGUUUUCAAACUGAUAUUAUUUUCUAAGUUCAAGUUUGCACUUGGAUCUA